rnacentral:lncRNA from 1 species
GACCUGCUCCCGGGUCUCACCGGGCCCGCGCCUGUCGCCAGCCCCGCACCACCUGCCCGGGGGAUCCAGGGCUGCACCUCUAAACAGGGACGCGCACCCUGGCCCGUGCCCUCGGGAAGUUUCUCCUUCUGUGUGAUCUUUGAGGCCCACGUUGGAAGUCUUUACCCCUGGCCCCGUCUCCGAUUCCUCCCCGCUGUGCCCAGGGCCAGACUCCUUCCGUGUCCCUGGCUUUAGCGCCCGCGGUCCUGGCGAGCGUUUUCCCAGCGGGCGUUUGCGGCGCUUCUCCUACUGAGAAACUGUUGCUGUGGAGGCUUGAGAAGUCAAGGGGCUGCAGGCCGGGGUGGGAUACACACACCCUGGAGCUCUGUGCCCGGUCGAUGUCCGCUUUGGGGGCGGAGGCCCUCCAGGGGUAGCCGUGAAAUGCCCAGGGUGGCUUUGAGCGGCUGGCACUGAGAACAGCGAUCCCGAAAAGAAGAAGGGGUGGUGGCGCAGGUUCUUUCAGAGAUGCCUGAGCCUCCUCCGUGCGCCCAGGGACCCACCGCUCAUUGACUUCCAGGGCCCAAGCUGCAGGGAGCUGUCACAUCUCUCUUUCAGACCUGAGCCCAGAACACCAGCUCAGAGCCACCCCGCAGCCUCCCGUGAGCUGCUGUCACCUAGGCACCCACACCUGCACUGGUCCCUCCAUCAGUGAGCCAAAUUCUCUCCCCCUCUCUGCCCAUGGAUGUUUUCUGCCACAUUCUAAGUAUUAAAGUUACAUGAACUUUU